UGCACGUUCAUCAAAGGAACAAUAUUCAAACAGAUUUGUGAAGGAACUUUUUCUACUGUUAAGGAAAGACAAAACCAGAAAAUGACUCAGCUGAACCAUGAAGGCGAGGCUGCAGGAAGCCCCAUUCGUCUCUCCACACUUCUGCUGUCAUCCCUUUUUAUUGGGAAUCCAGGUGGCCAUGAAAAACACACACGAGAGAUGGAGAGUCUCCAGUCCACUAGAUAGAGUCAGCUACUGCUGAGAAACUUCGGGGGAUGAAGGAACGACAUCCUGAAGAAACACCGAGCGGUAGGCAACAGCGGCACCUGUCUUGGAGACUGGGUACUGCAGGACGAACAGCAACGGGAAGGAGAAGAGCGCCAGAGGAAUGUGGCAAAAGGGCGAGGGUAAAAGGUGAUUCCAAUGGAGAAUUUUGACAGGGCCAUUCCCAUCUCCUGGCUUCACCCGGAUAACUGGCACAUAAGGCGUAGAUACCCAGCUCUCAACCAACUUAUGUUUCCUUGGUAGCCUUUUGCUGUUCUUUCUUCUGUCAGACACGUACCUAAGAUAAAUCUUCUGUGGCAAGUCUUCACUGCUGGCUCCAAACCAGAGAUCUACGGGCAAUCUCGCUUCACACCUGAACUUUCAAAUAAUAUGGAGUCCAGGGUUCCAAGCAUGUCUUGCAAUGUCUAGUUGAACCUUUCAGGCUGGGGAUCACCCUGAGGGUGAUACGGUGUGGUCCUCGACUUCUCGACUCCAAGCAUGCUCACUAACUCAUGUAUGAGUCGACUCUCAAAAUCCCUUCUCUGAUCACUGUCUAUUCUUCUUGGCGGGUCAUAAUGAACAAAAUAUUUCUCCCAUAACACUUUGGUAACUGUGGAUGCCCCCUGAUCCUUUGUGGGGAAGGUUUGAGCAUAUCUGGUGUAGUGAUCAGUAAUGAACAAGACAUUCACAGUGUUGCUGGAAUCAGGCUCAAUGGAGAGGAAAUCCAUACACACUAAAUCAAGUGUUCCUGCUCUCUGUAAAUGGAACAAUGGAGCAACCCUCGCAGGUUGUGUCUUCCUCUGAAUACAUCGAAUACACAACUUACAGUAUCUUCAACCUCAGGCUUCAUUUGGGGCCAAUAGGACUGACCUCUGACCAACCUGUAUGUCUGGUCAUACCCCAAAUGACAUGAAUCAUCAUGAAGUGACUUUAAUGUAAUUGUUUGAUACUUCUCAGGCAAAACCAACUGGGAACACCAAGGCCUGUCUGGAGGAGAUGUAACCCUGUAUAAAACUUGGUUCCUCAACUCCUGUUUGUCCCAGUCCCCCAUUAGUAGGGGUAUGGUAGGGUGUUCUGUCUUUUCAAGUUGGGCCAUAUCCCCUUUGGAUACAGAUGACCAAAUGGAACCUAUACGUCUUGCUGGGCUGCCACCAAUUCUGCAGGAAUUAAGGCAAGCAACUGCUUCAUAUCUAGAGCAGUCAAGUUGCAAUUUUCUUGUAGAAAGGCACAACUGGAAGCUCCUAAAUGAUCCACAGCUCUAUCAUGCCAUGACCCUGCCUCUGAUCACCCCACUGUGGAAAACUAGCAAAUCACUUUAACACCAGAGGCAGAAACACCCUCCAAAUCUCUGUCCAUUACCAGCACCUCAUGCAAAUGUCGGGACAAUGCAUCCACAUUCAAUGUUUCAGCCCCCUGGACGAUAUUUCAGGCUGAAGUCAUAAAUAGAUAACACUAUCUGUGGCAUCCCACUUCGCCAAGGUCAAGUCAUACAAUUGUUGUCAGUCCUCAUUUCGAACUUGGAUCAUAUAAAUAGUUACCUAACUCAUCCAUCACAGCCCAUUUCAACUCCAGAAACUCCUAUCUGUGCAUAGGGUAAGUCCAUUCAAAAGGUGAUGGACUCCAGCUGACGAAAGCAACAGGUCUCAACCCGUUGCCCUGGUCCUGAUAUAUUAGACACCAUCUAAAUCCCCACGGCUGGCGUCGGUAUACGAUACAUAUGGCAACUGGGUGUUUGCCAAGGCUGCCACAGGUGCUUUAGUCAGCAACUCUUUCAGCAGGUUAAAGGCCAUUUUGCAUCCCAUCUUUCCCUGAGAGACUCCGAAGGGCUAAGAUAUACUUUACCUUCUCCUUUCGCUCUCCGCUCUUUCUUCUCCAAGGGCAGGUAACCAGAGAGAAGCUGACUCGAAGGGUGGCACACUCUGGAGUAGUCCUUCCCAAAUCUUUGGUAGUACCCACAGGAUCCAGGGGAUGAGUGUAGGGCACUCACAUUCAAGGGCUUUGUCCAUGUGGUCACCGCCUCUAUCUUGGACAAAACCGUAGCCACUCAAUCCUGUGAGACUAGGUGCCCGAUGUAGUUGCCUAAUGCCUUACAGAACUGGCACUUGUCCAAUGACAGUUUUAACCCUUCAGCUUUCAGAUGGUCUAGCUCCUUCACUAGCCUCGUCUCAUGCCCGUCCAGUGUGGACCCCAACAGUACGAGAUCAACCAAGAACACCAAUACCUCAAGCAAGUUUACAUCCCCAACGGUCUUCUCCAUGAAACAAAUUUACUCCCCCAAAUCUUGAGGCUUUGUCCCCUAGUUCUAGUCUCACCUACCAGUGUAAACAACUUUCCUGCCUCUAUCUUAACUAUCUCUUUCAUAAUUGUGUAUGUUUCUGUAAGAUCUCCUCUCAUCCUUCUGAAUUCCAGUGAGUACAGUUCCAGGUGACUCAAUCUCUCAUCAUAGUCUAACACCCUUAUCUCUGGAAUCAACCUGGUGAGCCUUCUCUGCACCGACUCCAAAGCCAAUGUAUCCUUCCUCAGGUAAGGAGACCAGAACAGCACGCAAUACUCCAGGUGUGGCCUCAACAGCACUCUGUCCAGCUGCAGCAUAUCCUCCCUGCUCUUAAAUUCAAUCUCUCCCCAGCAAUGAAGGCCAACAUUCCAUUUGCCUUCUCGAUAGCCUGCUGCACCUGCAAACCAACUUUUUGCGAUUCGUGCACGAGCACUGCCAAGUCCUUCUGCACAACAGCAUGCUGCAGUCUUUUACCAUUUGAAUAAUAAUCUGCUCUUCCAUUUUUCCUUCCAAAGUGGAUGACCUCGCAUUUGUGAACAUUGUACUCCAUCUGCCGGAAUCCACGUGCUGAUCCAUACCCUGAGCUCAUCUACACUGUUCCUUACAUUCGUCACAUCAUGCUCGACUUUUUGAUUCCUGGCUUUGUCUGACCUCUUAAAAAGAUUUGUCUCCACAGCUUCUCCACUGUUCUGGUGCUUUGCUUCCCAUUUCCUUCAAACUCUAGUUUAGCCCCCCACCCCCUGUUCAGCACUAGCAUACCAGCUCCCUCUGGUUUAUGUGCAAACUGUCUCUUCUGAACAGGUCCCCUGGAUCCAAAAUGAUCCAGAAAUCUGACACCCUCCCUCCUACACUAUCUCUUUAGCCAUCUGAUCUUCCCAUUUCUGGCCUCACGAGCACGUGGCACGGGGAGCAAUCCUGAGAUCACAAACCUGGAGGUCCUGCUCUUUAAUUUAGCACCUAACUCCCUAAACUCACUCUGCAGAACCUCGUCCCUCUUCCUACCCAUGUCAUUGGUAUCUAUAUGGACCAUGACCUCUGUCCACUUAUCCACCCACUUAAGAAUGCUGAGGACUCAAUCUGAGAUGUCCUGGACACUAAUACCCAGGAGAUAACAUACCAUUGGAAUCUAGUUGUCAUGCACAGAACCUUCUUUCUGUUCCCCUGGCGAAUCCCCUAUCACCACAGCUCACCUCUUCUCCCUUCCCUCCCACCUAACCGCAGAGCCAGACUCAGUGCUAGAGACCUGACCACUGUGACUUUCCUCUGCUCGGUCAUCCCCCUCCCAACAGUAUCCCAAGUUGAGGGAGAUGGCCACUGGGUUACUCUGCACUGGCUGUCUAACCCCUUUGCCCUUCCUGACUGUCGCCCAGUCACCUUGGGUGUAACUUCCUCUCGAUAUAUUCUAUCUCGCGCCCCUCAGCCUCUUGAAUGAUCUGGAACUCAUCCAGUUCCAGUGCAUCCCGUGUUAGAAGCUGCUCCGGAUGCACUUCCUGCAGGUGCAGUCGUCAGGGACACUUGAGGUCUCCCCGCCUUCUUACAUCCCGAGAAAGGAGCAUUCAACCAUCCUGCCUGGCAUCCCUACUUCGCUGUCUGUGCAAUAUUGAAGAAGGAAACAACAAAUAAACUGAAGAAAAAUCUACCAGGAGCUUUUUGCCUUCUCUCACUCAAGCCUCAAAGAGCUAAACCCUGAAACCCCCACUCUAACACUGUCAACUCCAACAAAGGCUGCUCUGCUUACCCCGGCCUUAUUUUUAUUUGCCCGUGCUGAUGAAUCUCGGCCUCCGACUGGCCGCUGUUCAGACACCAAAACUCUUGUGAAGUGCUGCUUUUUAAUGCAUACUGUGUGGGCCACCUUUUCUCUCGCUCCCAAUUUCUAACUGGCCGCUGUCCAGGUGCCUGCGGUCCCAGAGCCAACUCCUACAACCACGAUGCGGAAGGUCCCACCCAGAACCUGAGAUUGUUUCACAGCCACAAGUCUCACCUGCCAAGCAGAGCAACACCUUUUUCAGGAAAGAGGUUAUCCUCCAAGGCUAAGGAAUUGUUCACAACAAAUAAAUCUUUCGGCCUGAUGGGACAAAACGUAACAAUGCACAGUAGACUUAGGCAGGUAGGGACAAAGGAAGUACUUGAGGGGUAUAAGAAAAGCACGAGAGCACUUAAGAAAAUCGUUAGGGCUGAAAGAAGGCAUGAGGUUGCUGUAGCGGACAAGCUGAAUGAUAAUCCUAAGAUCCUCUGCAGAGCAAAGGUAUAUCAAGGGACAAAAUUGGUCCUUGGGAAGAUCAGAGUGGUGAUACAUGAGAGAGAGAAAGAGGUGAGAGAGAUCUUAAAUGGAUGUUUUGCAUGUGCAUUUACUCGGGAGAUGGACACGGAGUCUAUAAAGUGAGGCAAAGCAGCAGCCAAAUCAUAGAUCCUAUACAGAUUACAGAGGAGGAGGUGUUAAGGGUAAAAGGCGAAAUGUUUAAAGGGAACAGGAGGGGAAACUUCUUCACUAAAAAGGGUGGACAGAGUUUGGAAAGAGCUGCCAGGGCAAGUGGUGGAUGUGAUUUUGUUUAAGUUUUUGUCAAAGUUUAAGAGAAGUUUGAUUAGGUACGUGGAUGGGAGUUUACGGCAAGCUAUUAUCCUGAUGCAGUUGGAUGGAAUGAGGCAGUCUGAAUAGUUGGGCAAGGACUUGAUGGGACGAAGGGCCUGUUUCUGUGCAGUCAUUUUCUAUAACUCUAUGACUCUGUGAAAAAGUUUUGACAGCUCUAGGCACCUUACAUCUCUAACAAUUGAUGCUGCUCUCCUCAUUCAUUGAGGUGUCAUCUCCAAAUGACCUCAGACGCAUUCUCCACUGUGUGGUCCAGUUCUAUCCUUAAUCCUUCCAAGUACCCACUUUUGAUCACCUCUGAGGUCCCUUGCCAGGAACGUUUGUCCGGGAGUGUAAUGUGGAACCUUCUUGUUUGAGGAACUCUCAAUUUAAAGUUCAAAGUAAAAUUUAUUAUCAGAACACAAACAUGUAACCACAUACAACCCUGAGAUUCUUUUUCCUGUGGGCAUACAUAGCAAAUCUAUAGAAUAGUAACAGUAAACAGGAUCGAUAAACAACAAACUGCGCAAAUGCAAAUAUAAAUAAUGAGAGCAUGAAGCAACAAGAUGAGGAGUCCUUAGAGCGAGACCAUCAGUUGCAGGAGCCCCUGUUGUUUUUCCUGCAUAGUCCUUCUGAGACUGGGUUUGAGGAGAUCCAAGCAUGAAUACAAGGGACAAUGCAGGAACAGCGUAGCUUGCGAGUUGUGAGUUAAGGAGGGUGCUGCAUUGUGAUAUAAAAGGAGAAAGAUGGUGAGCUUCCAAUUCAGUAUUUUAUGCCAACAUUGUGUGGAAUGCAUUCUUUAGACUCUGGACAAACAUUUCGGCCAAGUCAUUUGUAGCUGGGUGGUACGGUGCAGAAGUAAUAUGUCUUAUUCCAUUCAUUUUCAGGAACCUGUUCCAUAAUCAAACUAUGGUCCACUGUCAUUGACUAAGUGUUCUGGAACACCAAUCCUUGAGAAGAUGCUCCUCAACACAUCAACAGUGUGCAGUGGAGCCUAUUGGAACAGUUCUGGACAAUUUGUUUCUGCAUCCAGUACUACCAAGAAAUUUGUAUCCAUGAAUAGUCUGGCAAAGCCCACGUAAGUCCUCUACCAGCACAAUCUAGGCCACUUCCAGGGAUGAAGAGGUGUUGCUCUUGGCAUCAUCUGGGUGUGUUGGCAUCCCAAACAGUGCACGUGUCCUAAUUUGUUGCAUUUUCUGCAAGUGUCACCUUCAAAUCUGCAUUGGUCUGGUGUAUGCCAGCCCCCACCGCAAUAGUAACACAACUUGCUUGUUGCAAUUUUGUUCACGCUCACUCUCAUGCCUGACUGCAACUAAAUUACAUCUCUGUCUUCUGUUUCCACGAAUAUAGCAAUUUCAACUACUCUUUAAAAAGUGAGUUGUGCAUCAGUUAAGAGCUGUUUUUCAAUGUUCUCUUGCAAGAUUCCACAAACUAAAUGAUCGGUCAGUGUAUCAUUAAGCCCAUCCCUGAACUGACAAUGCUCAGACAAUCUCUUCAAUUCAGCCACAUAAACUUCCUUUUCAUUCCACUUAUAAAACUAAAGUGUUCUGCGACUAAUAAUGGUUUUGGUUCUAAAUAUUCCUGCAUUACUUUCAUGAUAUCAGCAAAAUUCAUUUUGGCUGGUUUGGUUGGAGCAGUUACAAAUAGUAUACAUUACCACCCAAUGCACCCAGCAAAACUGGGACUUGCUUCCUAUUAGCUAUUUCAUCUGCUUCAAAAUACUGCUCAAUUUGUUUAGUAUACAAUGUCCAGUUAUCUUUUCUGCUAUCAAACACAUUUAAAUUCCAAUGUUGCCAGCAAUGACUGCUUUAUUUAUUUAUUAUUAUUUUCACGGGCAAUCACUAUUUAUGAACCCAUAAUUUUGUCUACCAUCUUUAACCUCUCGCUCCACCAGUGCAUAAUACCCACUGGCUUCAAGCAGUCUUCAAUUAUAUCGGUGCCCAAGAAGAGCUUGGUGACCUGCCUCCAGUAGCACUUACAUCCACAGUGAGAGGUUAGUAAUGAAACAUAUUAUCAUACAUUAGGAUGCUUUUUAUAGACUACAACUCAGCAUUCAAUGUAAUCAACCCCUCAAAACUAAUCAAUAAGAUCCAAGACCUUGGCCUCUUAGUGCAGUUUGAUCCUGGAUUUCCUCACUUGUAGACCUCAGUCAGUUCAGAUUGGCAGCAACAUCUCCUCCACGAUAUUCAUUAGCACAGGUGCACCACAGUGCUAUUUGCUCAGUCCCCUUAUCUACUCACUUUACACCGACGACUAUGGGGCUAAACACAGCCCCAAAUCCAUAUUCAAGUUUGCUGAUGACACCACUGUUGUUGGUUUUUAUCAAAGGUAGUGAUGAAUCAACAUUUGGCUGAGUGGUUUCAUAACCAAGGCUUCUCACUCAUUGUCAGCAAGACUAAGGAACUGAUUAUAGACUUCAGGAGAGGGAAACCAGUCCUCAUCGGAGGAUCACGGGUGGAGAGGGUUAGCAACUUUAAGCUCCUGGGUGUUUAUUUCAGGGGACCUGUCUUGGACCCAGCACGGAAGUUCAAUUUCAAAGAGGUAGCAGAGCCUCUACUUCCUCAGGAAUUUGCAGAGAUUUGGCACGACAUCGAAAACUUUGACAAACUUCUAUAGGUGUGUGAUAAAGAGUCCAUUGACUGACUGCGUCACGCCCUGGUAUGGAAACAGCAAUGCCUUUGAAGGGAAAAUCCUACAAAACAUGGUGGAUUUGGCCCAGUACAUCAAGGGUAAAGCCCUCCCAGCCAUUGAGCACAUCUACAUGAAACACUGUCAAAGGAAAUCAGCAUCCAUCGUUUGAAAUCCCCACCACCCAGGUCAUGCUCUCUUCUCACUGCUGCUAUCAGCUAUAAGUUAUGAGAACCCCAGGACUCGCACAAUGGGUUAAAAAACAGUUACUGCUCUUCAACCAUCAGGCUCUUGAAUAAAAGGGGAUAAUUAAUCUCCAUCAUUGAAAUGCUCCUACAAACAAUUAUCUCACUCUAAGGACUCUUUAUCUCAUUAUCUCCUGUUCUCGUUGUUGUUUGCUGUUUAUUUGUAUUUGCAUUUGCACAGUUUGUUGUCUUCUGCACUCUGGUUGAUCUUUCAUUGAUCCUACUAGGGUUAAUAUUCUAUAGAUUUGCUAAGUAUGCUCACAAGGAAAUGAA